AAGAAGUAAAAAAAAAGCACCAUUAAAUUUGAUGACAAAUGGGGGCUCAGCCUCAGGAAAAAAAACUGCUCCCCCCCCCCUCGCGUCUCAAUAUCUCUUCUUUGUCUUUCUCCUUCCAUAGUCCAUACCCACAUCUAUACAGCUAGUCUAUAUGUUAUAAAUUCAUAUGUUGAAAAUUUCUCAAAGAAAAGCAGACACUACAUGGUUUAUUGUUCAGUCUUCAGUUCUUUAUUCCAUUGAGAACGUCCUGUAUACAUAUUGUUCAUUGUCUGUUCUCUGAGUACAUAUAUUUUAAAAAGCAGAUGUGAUGUUUCAGACCAUAAGGUCUAAAUUUUUUACUUCCUGUUUUAUUGCACAAGGAUAAUAUGAUUGAUUAGUGUCUACAAACUUGUCUGAGUUGUCACCGCAAUGCUAACCAGUUGGGAGUAGACUAGUUCUUCGCCAAAGCCUGGACCUGACAGUGGGCCGACAGACCACGGGAACAAGAAUAGAACGAAUGUAUUCAGACUGAAAUGGACCAACAAGGGCAACCUGUAUCACAUAGUGGCAGGAUUGGACCAAGCCAAGUGGGAUCUACAAACUCAAGUGGAACACAUAUGACAGGUUGGCCAACAACAUUGUAGCAUGAAGCUUCUUGCAACAGCUUCACUGGCUGACUCUCAUCAGGAUAAAGAGUGACGAAGCAGGAGAGCUGUUCCAGAAAAUCUUUCUCCUCGGAUUCUGCUUCAGUGAUUUUUCUCUGUAGAGAUUGGUGCUGGAUGAGGCAUGCAAGUCCUUGCAGGUUCACUUCAGGAAUUCUGAAGAGGGGCUCCCUCACUACAUUGAAGUGUAGCUUAGCCACUUCGUCUGUCUUAAAUUCCUCUAGGUUCUUCUGCAGACUUGACAAAGUUCUGGAUGGACUGGGUCCCCGGACAUGUUGAGGAACCACCAUCUGAGCCUUGGCGAUUUCACAAUAUAGACAGCAGUGCCGUCCUAAGGAUCUUUCUGUGUCUUGUCCAGCUGAGACCAAGUCCAACCUUCAAGUCCAGCAUUUCACCAUCUGGAAUCCGAAUGGAUGUGCCAGUCAUUAGUGAGUCCAGAUCUGAUGCUAGUUUCCGGAACUUUACCUCAUGGGUUAGUUGGGCUGAUGUUGCUCCUCCACUCGUUAAGUCACGAGCCUGCAGCAACGUCUCUGAGCGAUGUCUUAAUGUUGAUGGAGCACAUUGAUCUGAAGAAACUUGGGCUUUGUGCAUAAGCACUGUUACUAGUGGCUUGUUAAAAAAAGACAGAUCAGAUAUGCCAUUAGUUUAUUUUGGCUGAAAAAGGGGGAUGUUGAAUACUUGUCCGUCAAAUUAUAUCAUAUUUUAGUAACAGUGUGGCCAAAUUAGGCGUGGGGGGGGGGUGGUGGUUGCUACAGAAUAUUUUAAAUACAUUCCUGCAUAUAAGGAAAGAACACCCACUGCUAUAUAUUUCUUAUUUUUCUUUUUCUGGGCUGCCAAAGGAGGGGGGGGGGGAGAGGGCAUAUGCAUAACAAAAGGGAGGCUUGAUUUUUAAUCUAUUUAUUACUUGAUCGAGAUAUUUUGGAUGUGUGUUGCAACUUAAUAAAUUUGAACAUACACAUAUUGUAUUGUACACAUUUUUAAAAUUACAGUCCACUUCAAUUAUUAGGAGGAUUUCAGGACCAAGCCAAUUUAUAAACAAAAUUUUGUUUUUCUGAACACAUAGACACAUGUGCGCAGGUUUGAAUUCGGAAUUGGGAAAACUGCCUCGUUUUAAUGAGAUCUUGUUGUAUCAGCGCUCGUUAUGAUUGAAGUAGACUGUAUAUACUUUUCUUGAGAACCUAUCAUGAUCGUAUGAAUAAAAUAUAAAGUGAAAAUCCAUUUUAAGUUAGUUAUGAAACACAUUUUAUUAUAAAAAAUAUAAUUGCUCAGAAAUUUUUAUCCUCGAACAUGUAAUGUAGAUAAUUAAUACAUAUAUAAAGAGAUCUGAUGUAAAGAAAUACCUGAUAUAAAAGCUAAUUUCUAUGGUCAAAAUGAAAUCAAUUUGCUUUGUUUUGUAUUGACUACUGAUAUAACAAGAUACCUGGUACAUGUAAAACAAGCAAACUUUGUCCAGUUCCGAGGACCUCAUUUUGGGAUUUUCCACUGAAGGCUUAUAUUAAUUUAGUGAAUACGCAGAUCUUGUAUGAAUCAUGCAUUAUAAUAAAAUUAGAAUCAUAUUAAUUUUAUGAAUACAUA